UCCCCGUUGCCGGGGCAGUCUGAUUAGAAAAAUACAACUAAUCACAAGGGUUGCGCUCGUUGAUGGACUUAACCAAACAUCUCACGACACGAGCUGACGACGGCCAUGCAACAGCUGUCACCAAGUUCAAUAAAGCACUCUCGCCUUUCGGCAAAAUUCUUGGGAUGUCAAACCCUGGUAAGGUUCUCCGUUUAUCAUCGAAUUAAAGAACACAAUCCACCGCUUGUGCGGGUCCCCGUCAAUUCCUUUAUGUUUUAGUCUUGCGACCGUACUCCACAGGCGGGAUACUUAACGCGUUAGCUUCGCUACUGGGGGGGUCGAUACCCCCAACAGCUAGUAUCCAUAGUUUACGGCGUGGACUAC
rnacentral:misc_RNA from 1 species